GCCACUGUAGCUCAGGUGGUAGAGCAACGGAUUCGUAACCCGUAGGUCAGCGGUUCAAUUCCGCUCAGUGGCUCCA
rnacentral:tRNA from 2 species